rnacentral:rRNA from 1 species
CUACGCACUCCUACGGGAGGCAGCAGUGGGGAAUAUUGCACAAUGGGCGCAAGCCUGAUGCAGCCAUGCCGCGUGUAUGAAGAAAGCCUUCGGGUUGUAAAGUACUUUCAGCAGUGAGGAAGGUGGGUAUGUUAAUAGCAUAUUCAUUUGACGUUAGCUGCAGAAGAAGCACCGGCUAACUCCGUGCCAGCAGCCGCGGUAAUACGGAGGGUGCGAGCGUUAAUCGGAAUUACUGGGCGUAAAGCGCAUGCAGGUGGUUUGUUUAAGUCAGAUGUGAAAGCCCGGGGCUCAACCUCGGAAUUGCAUUUGAAACUGGCAAACUAGAGUACUGUAGAGGGGGUAGAAUUUCAGGUGUAGCGGUGAAAUGCGUAGAGAUCUGAAGGAAUACCGGUGGCGAAGGCGGCCCCCUGGACAGAUACUGACACUCAGAUGCGAAAGCGUGGGGAGCAAACAGGAUUAGAUACCCCUGGUAG